AUUGAACGCUGGCGGCAGGCCUAACACAUGCAAGUCGAGCGGAAACGAGUUAUCUGAACCUUCGGGGAACGAUAACGGCGUCGAGCGGCGGACGGGUGAGUAAUGCCUAGGAAAUUGCCCUGAUGUGGGGGAUAACCAUUGGAAACGAUGGCUAAUACCGCAUGAUGCCUACGGGCCAAAGAGGGGGACCUUCGGGCCUCUCGCGUCAGGAUAUGCCUAGGUGGGAUUAGCUAGUUGGUGAGGUAAGGGCUCACCAAGGCGACGAUCCCUAGCUGGUCUGAGAGGAUGAUCAGCCACACUGGAACUGAGACACGGUCCAGACUCCUACGGGAGGCAGCAGUGGGGAAUAUUGCACAAUGGGCGCAAGCCUGAUGCAGCCAUGCCGCGUGUGUGAAGAAGGCCUUCGGGUUGUAAAGCACUUUCAGUCGUGAGGAAGGUNGUGUAGUUAAUAGCUGCAUUAUUUGACGUUAGCGACAGAAGAAGCACCGGCUAACUCCGUGCCAGCAGCCGCGGUAAUACGGAGGGUGCGAGCGUUAAUCGGAAUUACUGGGCGUAAAGCGCAUGCAGGUGGUUUGUUAAGUCAGAUGUGAAAGCCCGGGGCUCAACCUCGGAAUAGCAUUUGAAACUGGCAGACUAGAGUACUGUAGAGGGGGGUAGAAUUUCAGGUGUAGCGGUGAAAUGCGUAGAGAUCUGAAGGAAUACCGGUGGCGAAGGCGGCCCCCUGGACAGAUACUGACACUCAGAUGCGAAAGCGUGGGGAGCAAACAGGAUUAGAUACCCUGGUAGUCCACGCCGUAAACGAUGUCUACUUGGAGGUUGUGGCCUUGAGCCGUGGCUUUCGGAGCUAACGCGUUAAGUAGACCGCCUGGGGAGUACGGUCGCAAGAUUAAAACUCAAAUGAAUUGACGGGGGCCCGCACAAGCGGUGGAGCAUGUGGUUUAAUUCGAUGCAACGCGAAGAACCUUACCUACUCUUGACAUCCAGAGAACUUUCCAGAGAUGGAUUGGUGCCUUCGGGAACUCUGAGACAGGUGCUGCAUGGCUGUCGUCAGCUCGUGUUGUGAAAUGUUGGGUUAAGUCCCGCAACGAGCGCAACCCUUAUCCUUGUUUGCCAGCGAGUAAUGUCGGGAACUCCAGGGAGACUGCCGGUGAUAAACCGGAGGAAGGUGGGGACGACGUCAAGUCAUCAUGGCCCUUACGAGUAGGGCUACACACGUGCUACAAUGGCGCAUACAGAGGGCGGCCAACUUGCGAAAGUGAGCGAAUCCCAAAAAGUGCGUCGUAGUCCGGAUUGGAGUCUGCAACUCGACUCCAUGAAGUCGGAAUCGCUAGUAAUCGUGGAUCAGAAUGCCACGGUGAAUACGUUCCCGGGCCUUGUACACACCGCCCGUCACACCAUGGGAGUGGGCUGCAAAAGAAGUAGGUAGUUUAACCUUCGGGGGGACGCUUACCACUUUGUGGUUCAUGACUGGGGUGAAG
rnacentral:rRNA from 1 species